UCCCUAGUGGUCUAGUGGUUAGGAUUAGGCACUUUUAUUGCUGUGGCCCAGGUUCAAUCCCUGGUCAGGGAA